rnacentral:rRNA from 1 species
CCUACGGGAGGCAGCAGUGGGGAAUAUUGCACAAUGGGCGAAACCCUGAUGCAGCGACGCCGCGUGAGUGAAGAAGUAUUUCGGUAUGUAAAGCUCUAUCAGCAGGGAAGAAAAUGCCGGUACCUGAUUAAGAAGCACCGGCUAACUACGUGCCAGCAGCCGCGGUAAUAUGUAGGGGGCAAGCGUUAUCCGGAUUUCCUGGGUGUAAAGGGAGCGUAGACGGCAGCACAAGGCUGGAGUGAAAUGCCGGGGCUUAACCCCGGAACUGCUUUGGAAACUGUGGAGCUAGAGUGCAGGAGAGGUAAGUGGAAUUCGUAGGGUAGCGGUGAAAGGCGUAGAUAGUAGGAGGAACACCAGUGGCGAAGGCGGCUUACUGGACUGUAACUGACGUUGAGGCUCGAAAGCGUGGGGAGCAAACAGGAUUAGAUACCCUAGUAGUC